AUUUUUGUUGGCUGCUAACCUACUAAGCAUUUUUUGGCAGCGUGUGGUUCUGGAUUGAAGCCAUGCAUGCAAGUCUUCCACACUUACAAAGAAAACAAAUCUAGAAGCCAAUGUCCAAAACUGUUUUCUUCUUCUGUUGCACUUCUUUCCCAGCAUGUUCCCCAGGACAUUGGAAGAAGAGCAGGACUGAAUCAGCUUGGAAAAUGUGAAUAUUUCUGAACGUGUGGACACUUCUCACUUCUCAAGUGUGGGAGGAAUAUUUUACUGCCCACCUACCCAUCACUCAAAUGUCCCAAUCAAGUUAUUGAAACAAAUUAACCUUAGGGUGAUUAUCUGAAAAGAAUGUUCCUCCUGCCUCAAAAGGCACAUCUACUAUCACCUAAGCUUUUGUGCCUAUGUAUCAUAAGCCCAGGCUGGUUUCAGAAAAUAACUGAAGAAAUGAC